rnacentral:rRNA from 1 species
CCGUAGGGCCACACCACCCUGAAUGUGCCCAGUCUUGUCUGAUCUCGGAAGCUAAGCAGGGUCAGGCCUGGUUAAUAGUUGGAUGGGAGAAGAUUCAGCCUGGUUCCUCAGUGUU